CCGCCGUGAUCACAUGCAAAGGGUUCUAUGAAUCUAUGAUGCAGAAGGUAACAGGAUUCCUCUAAUUGACACUAUAAACAACAAUACAAACUAUAUAGUAAAACUUACUUAUGACCAAAUAAAGUAUACACUAUGAGUUAUACACGGCUCUAUGCAUUUGCAUCUUAGGGUUUUUGAUAUGUUAUAAACUGGGGAAUUUGUGAUUGUUAGGUGCUGUGAUACUUUUCAUAGCAUUAUGCAUGUAGUUGCUGAUUUAUACUUAAGAAUUGUGAUAUUUUCCUGCAAUAACAAUGUAGGUGCUGUGAUUGAUUGAUAAUGCAAUAACAAUGAUAUUUUUCUGUUAUAGAUAUAUUGAGGUCUUAGGAGCAGUUGUAGGUAACCUCUUCCGGAAUCACUUCUCCAUCAUCUGCUACGUUUGUUCCAUUCGUCUAGGUAACAUUGAUUUUAUUUUUUAUUCUCUAUUUGUUCCAGUAUCAAAUCGGAAUCAAUUCGCUCAUUCAAUUUUUUAUUUUUAUUUGUUCCAGAAUCGGAAUCACUCUUUGUCUAUUGAUUUAAUUCAAUUGGCUGAUUUGUAAUUGCUAUUUGAAUUGUUAAAGUUGUAAUUGCUAUUUUCAUUCUGAUUACUUUCCUCUAAUUAAAACAGUUUACGUCUGCGUUGGAGGAGGUGGAGCGUUCGGCAAAUCAUCGCAAGUUAUAGAAAGUGAAAUCAUAUUGUUACAUGCAUUUCAAGCUGUUUUUUACUCUGUCAAUGUUAUUGUGGCUCCUAUUUUGACAUUCAAAUUUCAAAUACAAAAUUUAUUAAAUAAUAAUUACAAUUAAUUUGCUGAUUGAAUGCUUGUUAGAAUUAAU
rnacentral:lncRNA from 1 species